rnacentral:sRNA from 1 species
GGCUGGUCGUAAGACCCGGGUCCACCAACACGGCGGGGAAGUGCCCC